AGAUAAAUCAAAACCGAACGAGCUAACCUAACCUUUUCUAUAUUCCUCGCUACGUGAAAGUCAUCCACUCACUUUAUACCUCCUCCUUGCUUAGGAUAUAAAAGAGGAUAUAAAAGAGUAAAUGGUAACUGAGAAAGAUUCAAAUUCGAUUAAAUAAGUAACAUGAGCUAUUAUAUACAAUUCCUUAAAACAUGUAUAAUACAUUUCUUACCCAUAUAUUUAUUAUUAACACGCAAUGACCAACCGAUCUAUUGUAUAUAACCUAUCGACUGUAAGAAACGUCCCACUUUUACAUUCAAUUAAUAUGUAAUUAAUAUACAAAUCCUACGAGGUCGUAUGUCAACAAAUCAGUCAUUCCAUCGGAACGCGUCCAAAUAUAAAUCGAGCAAAGUAUUUCAAACGAUUAAACAAGAAUAAUAGCCACUAUCUCCUCGUUUAUUCCAUUGAAUGAAAUUGUGGGCGCGAUUAAAGGACUCGGAUUCGAGCGUAACGCGCGCGCGCGCGCGCGCGAUCAUGCGUGGGACGGUUGCGCACACUCUUUCUACAUCUGCCCCUGAAUUAUCAGCUACAUUAAACAGAUAGGGCGAUGAAUCGUUGCUGUUGCUGAUACUUCUGCCCCACAACAGCAUUGACCUUCUUGAUUUAAUCGCGUGCUUUUUGCCAGACAUGAAGGCGAGGCCGUCGUGGUCUUAAGCUGGAUUUACACGUGCGGUAAUUUAUGUAUUGUGCAGAGUUGCAAAAAAAAAAAUUGCAUCCGGGAUGGAGCAGAGACAAGAAUACUUUGCUCAUUCUGACACUUUUGGCUAAUAUGUAUAUUUACUUGGAUGAGUGAAUAUUUC